GAUGAAGAACGUAGCGAAACGCGAUAUUUCUUGUGAAUUGCAGAAGUGAAUCAUCAGUUUUUGAACGCACAUUGCACUUUGGGGUAUCCCCCAAAGUAUACUUGUUUGAGCGUUGUUUCUCUCUUGGAAUUGCUUUGCUCUUCUAAAAUUUCGAAUCAAAUUCGUUUGAAAAACAACACUAUUCAACCUCAGAUCAAGUAGGAUUACCCGCUGAACUUAAGCAUAUCAAUAAGCGGAGGA
rnacentral:misc_RNA from 1 species